GGCAGGCUUAACACAUGCGAAGUCGGAGGGGUAGAAGGAGCUUGCUCCUUUGAGACCGGGCGCGACGGGUGCGGUAACGCGUUAUGCAAUCUACCUUUGCAGAGGGAUAGCCCAGAGAAUUUGGAUUAAUACCUCAUAGUAUAGUACUUUGGCAUCAAGGAACUAUUAAAGUCACAACGGCAAAAGAUGAGCAUGCGUCCCAUUAGCUAGUUGGUAAGGUAACGGCUUACCAAGGCUACGAUGGGUAGGGGGUCCUGAGAGGGAGAUCCCCCCACACUGGUACUGAGACACGGACCAGACUCCUACGGGAGGCAGCAGUGAGGAAUAUUGGACAAUGGGCGCAAGCCUGAUCCAGCCAUGCCGCGUGCAGGAUGACGGUCCUAUGGAUUGUAAACUGCUUUUAUACAGGAAGAAACACUCCGACGUGUCGGAGCUUGACGGUACUGUAAGAAUAAGGAUCGGCUAACUCCGUG
rnacentral:rRNA from 1 species